UACGUAGGGUGCAAGCGUUAAUCGGAAUUACUGGGCGUAAAGCGUGCGCAGGCGGUUCGGAAAGAAAGAUGUGAAAUCCCAGGGCUUAACCUUGGAACUGCAUUUUUAACUGCCGAGCUAGAGUAUGUCAGAGGGGGGUAGAAUUCCACGUGUAGCAGUGAAAUGCGUAGAGAUGUGGAGGAAUACCGAUGGCGAAGGCAGCCCCCUGGGAUAAUACUGACGCUCAUACACGAAAGCGUGGGGAGCAAACAGG
rnacentral:rRNA from 1 species